GGGCCGGUAGCUCAACCGGGUAGAGCAGCGGACUCAUAAUCCGUUUGGUGGGGGUUCGAGUCCUCCCCGGCCCAUCA
rnacentral:tRNA from 1 species